rnacentral:misc_RNA from 1 species
GAUGAAGAACGCAGCGAAAUGCGAUAAGUAAUGUGAAUUGCAGAAUUCCGUGAAUCAUCGAAUCUUUGAACGCACAUUGCGCCCUUUGGUAUUCCUUAGGGCAUGCCUGUUCGAGCGUCAUUUAAACCUUCAAGCUAAGCUUGGUGUUGGGUGACUGUCCGCUUCACGGCGGACUCGCCUCAAAAUUAUUGGCGGCCGGUACAUUGGCUUCGAGCGCAGCAGAAACGCGAACUCGGGCCCGUCGUAUUGGCUCCCAGAAGCUAUCUUCACAAUUUUGACCUCGGAUCAGGUAGGGAUACCCGCUGAACUUAAGCAUAUCAAUAAGCGGAGGA